GCGGAUGUAGCUCAGUUGGUAGAGCAUCGGAUUUUUAAUCCGAGAGUCGGGAUUUCGAGCAUCCCCAUCCGCACCA
rnacentral:tRNA from 1 species